GAUAAAUUUACAAUAAAUAUUUUCAAAUAAAUAAUAAUAUUCAAGAAUUCACAUUUGUAUUAAAAUAGUUUUAAAAAGUAGUUUUGAACAAAUACUAUACACUAAUACUAUAGCCCCGCCUAAUCUUUAUCGUAAUUGAAUGACGCUGUUUUUACAUAUUCAUACCGCGCGUUAAUUUUCUUGUUUUUAUGGUUUUCAAUUGGUUUUUUUUUUUUUUUUAAUACAGUUUUAUCGUUUGGUCGGAUUUUAGUCCGGCAUAAUAUGGACCGGUAGAAUAGGUGACUGUUCUAAAGUCAACAGCCGAUUGUGUACAUAUGUAUUGUAUAUAGUAAACGUUCAUCCAAUAAUACGAGAAGAAUUCAGUACGCCCGCAUUGAAAAUAUGUUGCGAAUACCGUACGCAUUGAUAAUUUAUUAUAGCUAUGCACAAUACGCGAGUGUUAUGCCGGCUCUGCGUGGUAUAUAAUUAGGCGACCCACAUUUUGUUUGAAAAUAAUUCGAUAGAAAACGCGUGUACGAGAAUUAUUCGAGCAGAGAAAUAUUAACGUGUUUUAGUCGACAGAUAAUUUGUACGGAAAUAAAACGCUAGGGAAAUAUUCUACCGGAAAUCCGUAAAUAAAUUUGUCGGGAAACAAUUGAUUACAAACGUGUUCAGUUUGCAAAUCCGUCGUAUUAAAUACGAACAGAGCGCGCUGUUGAACAGGCAAGCGACGGCUACAGGCUGUGUUCGUAUCUACGGUCGCGGUAACGUCGUUGGUAGACAAUAUCGUGUUCGCGGAUGAUACCGAUGAGUUGACGGGCCGAUGUAAUUGAUUAACAUUGGGCGGCGUUGAGCAAUGCGGGCUACGGACCAGAUGCGUCCAAGUGUAUAUCAUCGUAACCGUGUACCGUAGCAGAGAAACCGACGUUCAGCGGUUUCGCAGAUGACGUGCGAGUUGCAACAGUCGCGGUGUGUAUAGACGAUACGAGAUAACAGCGUGAGCGCCUGUGUUACGGGUUUGUUUUGCACCGGAACCGGUGCGCUAACGAAACACGUCCGCGCCCGAUGUCAUUCGGAUAAUGUGUUUUCCGUCCGAAAUACGGUUCGACGCAAACGUUUCUCGCACGGUUCGUUCGUUUUUCUGGCAACGCACCGCCGCGACGGAACAAUACCGCGAAACGCCCCGCGGCCGGGAUCGAUUUUACGCGAAAACCC